UGGCCGCGAGUUUUUGUCUUACUUUAGUUACAGGUAAUUAAUUUGUUUUGAAUUUGACCAUAACAUGACCGAUGAGAUUUGGACCAAACAAUUCGCCGCCUGUGAAGACACUUUCAAAUCAAAGGAAGCCUCACCUAGCCAAAAGCAGAAUGCUUGGCGCCUUCAAACGCUUUUGCUGUGCCAACAAACCAGAAUCCUUAGCGACUCAAAAUACUAUGCUCUGCUUAAUGAGCACCAAGACAAACUGCAGAAGGAUGAAAGUACGAAAAAAACAAUGGCAGCACGCGUGAAUCGAUGCCAGCAAAAAAUAAGGACGAGUCGCAGGUCUUCUUCGAACAUUAUUUGCGCGGAUUACAUUUUCGAUGUGCCCCAGGAUACUGCCUUUGAACCAUCCUGCAGGAGCUCCUACGAGAGCUGUCGAAGUGCAGACGUGACAUCCAGUGAUUUGCAACAUAAUUGCUUGAAAAAAAAAAAUUCCAAUCUUCACAUGACCAAAAAUUCGGUCAAAUCCAGCCCGGUCCCAGAGCCAUUAUCCAAGCCAAAUUUCCCGGAACCAAGCUCCAAGUCAGAAAAUGGGCACAAUAAUCAUCAGAGCUUACAACCGAACUCAUCCCAAAACGGCUUUGGUUUUCGCACAGCCCGGGAGCAACUCAUUUUAGACGACUUAAAGAAAAAUAAGCAACAAGGAGCAAACGAAAGGAGCGCAACCAGUGAAUCCCCAUCCGAGAUGAUGAACUUUAGAAAAAAAACGCUUGGAGGAAAACGUACAGUUAGUUCGAAUUUCGUAUCGCCUUUGCGACAGAGUGAGAACUCGAGCAGCUCCUCCCUCAACGUUUCGCCCACCCUGGCCCACUUAGAUUCCAAGAUGGUAGAUCAAAUUCUCGGCGAGAGCAUGCACGAUUUUAAACCGGUUGCCUGGGAAGAUAUUGCUGGUCUGGAAUCUGCCAAGUCCACAUUCCUGGAAGCUAUUAUUAUGCCCCUACGUCGCCCAGACUUGUUCACUGGAGUGCGAUGUCCACCUCGAGGCGUUCUUCUAUUCGGCCCACCCGGCACCGGCAAGACACUUAUUGCCAAGAGCAUUGCAUCCCAGGCCAGGGCAAAGUUUUUCAGCAUCAAUCCCUCUAGCCUGACCUCCAAGUGGGUUGGCGAAGCGGAAAAGCUGGUUAGGACAUUGUUUGCCGUGGCCGCUGCACAUCAGCCAGCUAUUAUUUUCAUCGACGAGGUUGACUCCCUGUUGUCAAAGCGUUCGGGAAACGAAAACGAGAGUACUCUGCGCCUGAAAAACGAGUUUUUAAUCCAUUUGGAUGGCGCUGCUAGUAAUGAGGAAAUUCGAGUGCUGGUAAUCGGAGCCACAAACCGACCGCAGGAGUUGGACGAGGCGGUGCGUAGGAGAUUUGUACGCCGAUUAUACGUCCCACUUCCAACAACAGAAGCCCGUCAGAAAAUCAUUGAAAAGAUAAUUCGACAGGUGAAACAUAGUCUCAGCGGUUUUGAAAUAAAGCAGCUGUCAGAGCUAACCGAUGGCUAUUCGGGGGCUGAUGUGGAUUCCCUGUGCCGCUAUGCAUCGAUGGCACCCCUUCGGGCGCUGACACCCGAUCAAAUGGAAACUAUUGAAACGCACCAGUUGCCAGCGGUUACUAUGGAAGAUUUUGAGCAAGCUUUAAGGGUCAUAUCCAAAAGUGUUUCUGCGGAGGAUUGCAAACAGUUUGAGGCCUGGAAUGACGUAUAUGGCGUACGACAUUAAAAAAGAGGCGGAAAGUUUUAUUUUUUGUAUUUUAUUAAUACUUUGAUGUAACGCAUGAACGCAAACACAUCAAAAUUACGUUCGUAUACAGCAGACUUUGAGGCCUGUUUAAUGAUCUUAAUUACCUUAACACACAGAUCUUA